UACGGAGGGUCCAAGCGUUAUCCGGAUUUAUUGGGUUUAAAGGGUCCGCAGGCGGGAGAAUAAGUCAGUGGUGAAAUCCUGUCGCUUAACGAUAGAACUGCCAUUGAUACUGUUUUUCUUGAGUAUAGAUGAAGUGGGCGGAAUGUGUCAUGUAGCGGUGAAAUGCAUAGAUAUGACACAGAACACCGAUUGCGAAGGCAGCUCACUAAACUAUAACUGACGCUCAUGGACGAAAGCGUGGGGAGCGAACAGG
rnacentral:ncRNA from 3 species